GAUGGAAUAGCUCAGUUGGUUAGAGUGUGUGGCUGUUAACCACAAGGUAAAGCAACACUAUCGUAAACUUCUCUUA
rnacentral:tRNA from 1 species